rnacentral:lncRNA from 1 species
UCACAGGAACAGAAAACCAAACACUACAUGUUCUCACUCAUAAGUGGGAGUUGAACAAUGAAAAUAUAUGGACACACGGAGGGGAACAUCACACACCAGGGCCAGUCAGGAGGUGGGGGAGCUAGGGGAGGGAUAGCAUUAGGAGAAAUACCUAAUGUAGGUGACGGGUUGAUGGGUGCAGCAAACCACCAUGGCAAGUGUAUAUCUAUGUAACAAACCUGCAUGUUCUACACAUGCAUCCCAGAACUUAAAGUAUAAUAAUAAUAAUAAAAAGAACCUAACAGAAAUAUCGGAACUGAAGAAUUCAAUGAAUGAAAUAAAAAAAUUCAAUAGAGAGCUUCAACAAUAGACUAGAUCAAGCAGAAGAAAGAAUUUCUCAACUUGAAGACAGGUCAUUUGAAAUAAUUCAGUCAAAUUUAAAAAAUGAAGAAAGCCUACAAUGACACAAGGGACCUCAUAAAGUGACAAAGUAUUCGCAUCUUGGGAGUUCCAUGAGAUGAGAUGGCCAAAGGCACAGAAAACUUAUUUAAUGAAAUAAUAGCUAAAAACUUCCCAAGUCUUGCCAGAGAUACAGGCAUCUAGAUAGACAAAGUGCAGUGAUUCCCAAGUAUAUUAAACCUGAACAGGUCUUUUCCAAUGCACACACCAUAUAGUCAAACUGUCAAAUGCCAAAGCCAAAGGAAAUAAAUCUAAAAGCAGCAAGAGAAGAGCAUCAAGUCACAUAUAAGGAAAUCCCCAUCAGACAAACAGAUUUGUCAGUAGAAAAUUUAUAGGUCAGAAAAAAUGGGAUGACAUUUUUAAAUUGCUGAAACGAAAAGAAACAUACUCACAACAUGAAUGAAUCUCAAAAAUAUGCUGAGCAAAAGCCAGUGAAAAACAAAGGACAAAAGCCAGGCACAGUGAAUUGCACUUAUAAUCCCAGCCACUCGGGAGGCUGAGGCAGAAGGCCUGCUUGAGCCCAGGUGUUCGAGGUUACAGUGAAGUUAUGAUCAUGCCACUGCAUUCCAGCAGCCUGGAAAACAGAGAGAGAGACUUCAUCUCAAAAAAAAAAAAAAAAAAAAAAAAAAAGGGAGAAUUUCAUUCAUGCGAAAUUCUGUAAAAGGCAAAUCUAACUUACAGUCACAGAAAACAGGUCCGCGUUUCCUGGAGGGGUGGGAGUUGAGGGGGAGCAGUAAAGUGGCCUGAGGAAACUUUUUGGGUGAUUGAAUAUUCCAUAUUUUGAAUAUGUUGAUAGCUACAUGGAUAUACAUAUUUCUAAAAACUCACUGAAAUGUACUUAAAAUGAAUACAUUUUGUUGUGUUUAAACUAUCCCUCAAUAAAGUGAACUUUAAAAAUGGAAGACAGAAAAUAAUGUAUUAAACUCCAAAUUAUAUUUUUAAAAGUAUGAUAGGAAAUAAAAACAUAAAUUCUUAUGUCAAAUAGGAGGAGUUACCUCCUAUUUGAGGUACCAUUUCUUACAUGAAUAUUACAAUUAGAAAUAUAUAGGUAAAUCCUCCUGAAAUUUUUAAGAUAACCACUGGAAGAAUUAAAUGCAUGCUAUACUUCAAGGACACAAAUGACACUGCAAAUCAGAUGUGAAAAAAUGUGCUAAACAAAAAAUUGUUGUGGUAUUUUUCCCCAGUGUGGUUUUUACUUCUAUGAAGACCCAGUAACAAGCACAACCGUAACAUGAAAGAUUUGGAUUCAACCACUUUUACAUAAACGCAACCAAAGCUCGUUAAUCUACCCUCAUGUGAUAUAUAAAUUACUGAGCUAAUCUUGAUUUGCUAGAUAAAUAAAAUAUGAAAAUAAGAUCUCAACAGGCAAUACUUAUUUUUAUAAGGACUUUACAAAUUUAUCUACCUGUGAAAUAUUUAGAAAAAGGGAAUCGCUGCUCUUUAUUAAGAAACAAAUACAAUCAAGUGGAUCCUGAACUUUAGAGGGGUCGAACUCUAAGUAUUCAGUAAUGUGGUUUAUCUCUGGCUACCUCAUAAGAGCAUAAUUUUUUAUUCAUAUUUAUAGUCGUAGAUGUUGACUCAUCCCUUGAUUUGCCUUAAGAAAAUAUAUCCUUCAUGAAUUAUUGAGUUAUUAGAGUCAUGUUUUUAUUCACUUUUUCUCUCGAUAUUUACAAAGACUUUUUCCAGAAAAUUACAUUAGAUUCCUGGCAAAUCGAUUGGACUGACAAAUGAUGCAGGAAGCAGCAAAAAUAUGUAUCAAUAACAAAUAGGAAAAACUCAUUACAUAGGGUUAGUGAGGAUGUGGGGGAAGAUGAAACAAUAUAUAUGUUGGUUGGAGUGUAAAUUGGUUUGACUAAAGAGCAAUUUGGGAAAGCUUUUACAGUUGAAGAUGCACAUACCUUACCAUUCCACUAUUUCACUUCUCUUUGAACAAGUUAAUAACAAAGGAAAUAAUCCACUUAGUGAAUAAUAUAUAAACUACAGUUUAUUCAAAUAAUUGUUCUGUGGGAUUUAUAAUGAAUGGCCCAAAUCUACAUUAAUAAAGAUGUUUUGUUUAAAAAAUGUGAUGCUGAUUAAAAUUUACAUAAAUGUAAAAUUUGAAAAUAGUAUCAUUUAUGGAUGCUACAUACAUCAUAAAAGCACAAAAACAUUCAUGAAAAUAAUUCACACUGACUUUAGGAUGGCGGCUACCUCUAGGGAGGAAAACUGCAGGUUGAGGACUUAGAUGUAUCUGUAACAUUGCAUGUUUUUAGAAAACAAAGUGAGAAAACUGAAAAAAGCAAAACAUUAGCAUGUAAUUAAUCUUGGUAUUUUUAAUUACACAAAUUUAGUAAACUCUCCAGUUAUUAUUUUUCAUACUUCACAUUACUUUUUAUUGUGGCAAAAAGCACAUGAGAUCAAUCCUCUUAGUAAAUUUUUAAAUAUACAGUACGGUACUGUUAAAUUUUAAGUAUAGUGCAGUACUAUAAGCAUAAUGUUAUACAACAGAGCUCUAGAACUUUUUAAACUCGCGUGACAGAAACUCUAUACCUUUUGAACAGCAGUUCCCCAAUUCCCCCUCCCCACAGCAGCCACCAUUCUACUGUUUCUAUAAGUUUGACUACAUUAGAUACUUCAUAUUGGUGAAAUCAUGCAGUAUUUGUCCUUCUGUGGCUGGCUUAUUUCACUUAGCAAAAUGUUGUCAAGGUUCAAGCUGCAGCAUCUGACAGUAUUUCCUUCCUUUUCUAUGGCUGAAUAACAUUCCAUUGUACGUAUAUACUAAAUUUUCUAAAUUCAUUCAACCAUCAAUGGGCAUUUAGGUUGUUUCCAUCUCUUGGCUAUUAUGAAUACUGCAUUAAUGAAAUGGGGAGUGCAAAUAUCUCUUCCAGAUCCUGGUUUCAUUUUUUUUUUUUUUAAUAUCCAGAAGUGGGAAUCCUGAAUCAUAUAGCAUUUCUAAUUCUUCUGAGGAACUUCCAUACUGUUUUUCAAAACAGCUGCACCAUUUUACACCCCUAGUAACAGUACAUAAGGGUUCCAAUUUCCCCACAUCCUCACCAACACUAUUUUUUUCAAAUGGCCAUUCUAACAGUUGUGAGAUAAUACCUCGUUGUAAUUUUGCAUCUCUCUAUUAGUGAUGUUGAGCAUCCCUUCACGUACCUGUUGGUCAUUUGUGUGUCUUCUUUGGAGAAAUAUCUAUUAAAGUCCUUUGCCCAUUAUUUAAUCAGUCUUUAUAUGGAUUUUUUUCUUCUAUUAAGUUGUAGGAGCUCGUUUUGUAUUUUGAUUAACCUCUUAGCAAAUAUGUGGUUUGAAAAUACCUUCUCCCAUUCGAUAGACUGCCAUUUGAUUCUAUUAAGUCUCCUUAGCUAUGCAGAAGCUUUUAAAGUUGAUGCAGUCCCACUUGUCUAUAUUUGCUUUUGUUGCUUGUGCUUUUGGUGUUAUCUCCAAGAAGUCAACAAUGUUAUGAAGAUUUUCCCCUAUGUUUUCUUUUAGGAGUUUUAUACUGUCAGAUCUUAUGUGUUGUUAAUAUUUUGUCCAUCUGAAAUAAUUUAGUUUCUCACUAUACAAUAUUACAGAAACAAGUUUCCAAAAAUGUACAAAACAUUGAAGUUUGUAAAAAUAAAGCUACACUGGGGUUUAUGAAAAUAAACUUCAAAUGGAUUCAAGGGCAUAAUAGUUAAAAAAACAAAAAUAUCAAAGUUUUCUUGAAAAAUGAAGGAAAAUACAUAAUCUUGAUUUAGGAAAGACCUUUCUAAACAAGGUAAUAAAACCCAGAAGUCAUAAUAAAAAGUACUAAAUUUCAAGGUAGUUUAAUUCUUCCAUACAACAUGAUGAUUGGGCAAAUUUAAUUUCCAAAGAUGUCCUCAACAAUAUCUCCCAUCCUAUAUACUUUUCCUGUGAAGUGUGACUCUGACACUCUUCCCAUGAAAUGGAAUUAUGUUCUCUCCCGCUGACUCUGGAUAAGCUUGGGACUACAGGUUUGUGACUUCUGAAGCUAGGUGACAAAAAGUGACAUAGUUUCUUUCUGGUUGUCUUGGGCCACUGUCUUCUAGAACCCAGCCAUCAUGCUGUAAGUAAGCCCAAAGUUAUAUGUAGAGGUCCAUGUAGGUGUUCUGGAUGAUAACCCAAGCUGAGUUCUCAGCUGACAGCCAGCAUCAACCAUCAGGUAUGCGAGUAAACGAGGCUUCUGUUGAUUGCAGUUGCCAGCCAUAGAAUCUUCCAGGAUCUUUCGGUCCUCCAGCUAAGACCUCAGACACCAUGGAAGACAGAAAAGCUGCUGUGCCCUUUCUGAAUGCCUGACCCACAGAAACUGUGACCAUAAAAAAAUGGUUGGUUUUUUUAUGGCACUAAGUUUGGGAUUGUUAUAUAGCAAAAGCAACUGGAACAAUCACCAUAAAGAAAAACAAGUGACUGGGCUAAAUUUUAGAAACCUAUUAAAUAGAUUAAAAAAUAAUACCCAGGAAAUAUAUUAAUAAAAAGUUACUAACAUUUGACAAGCAAAGGUAACCUAGUCAAAAACCAUAAACAAAGAAUACACAAGAGAAAAAAAACCAGACGUUCACCUCUAUUACUUUGCUACAAAUUUUAAAGAUUAAUAGUAUUCAUGUGAGAAUGUGUGUAAAGAAUUUUGGAAGACAUUUUGGUACUUCCUAUCAAAAUUAAAAAUAAGUACAUCCUCUGACUUGUCAAUUUCACUUCUAGACUUUACCUACAGAAAUACUAACAAAUGGGCACAAAUAUUUCUGCACAAGACUGUCCUCCAUAGCACUGUUACUAAUAGCAAAAAAAAAAAAAAAAAAUCUACAUGAUGCCCACUACAGAGGAAUGGUUAAAUAAUAGUUUAUUGAUAUGAACUGUACAGAAGAGGGUGGGCAUGGUGGCUCAUGCCUAUCAUCAAGCAGUUUGUGAGGCCAAGGCGGGCAGACUGCUUGAGCUCAGGAGUUGCAGACCAGCCUGGGCCACAUGGCAAAAUCCCGACUCUACAAAAAAUAUAAAAAUUAGCUGGGUGUGGGAGGAUGGCUUGAGCCAGGAGGUGGAGGCUGCAGUGAGCUGAGAUUGUGCCACUGCACUCCAGCCUAGGUGACAGAGGCAGACCCUGUAUCCAAAAAAAAAGUUAUUAUAUGUUAAUAGGGAUAAUCAUAUAUCAUUAUAUGAUAGGAAUAUCAUAUAUAACACAUAUGAUAAUGUGAAGGAAGGGGAGUGCAAUGAUGCACACCAAAUUAUGGCCAGUAGCUACUUUUGGGGAGGAGGGUGGGAGUGAAGAUUUUGGUAACGGCAAUUUUUUCCAUUUUGUUCUAGACGGUGAUAAGUGCUAUGGGCUGGGGGCGGGGGGGAAGUAAGGACAAGAGAUCAGGGCUGUUGUGGAAGGGUUAUGUAAAUUUUAAAAACUGAUCAAUUUUUCAUGUUUACAUAAAGUAUAAAAACAUCUAUCAGUAUGCUACAUACCAUGUUUAAAACAGCGUUCACCUCUGAGGAGGAAAAAGAAGACUCUACAGGGCUUUGAAUACCAAAAAGUGAGGAUCACUGAAGACCCUCUUAGAAGGUUCCUACCACAGCGAUUACCCAAAUUAUUGGAGACUUUCAAACGUAAAAAAUGUACAUGAAAAAUCAAUGACAAAAAUUAGAGCACUUCACAGCACAGUAUCGUGCACUGACUGGAUCAGUAUUUUCCACAUUGUGGGUACUUUUCCGUGAUGAGAAUAUCUGAAAUGCUUUUGAACACUGAAAAACUCGCUAAAAGCCAGACAUCAAGUUACAAGUGCAGACCAUCCAAAAACCCUUCAUACUGGUUACUUCUAGACACCAUUAAAAUAUGAACCUGUUUAACAUAAUGAGGAUAUGUGUUCUACAGCUACAAAGCUUACACAAGUUAUAAAACAAAUUUCAUUAACUUGUUGGUCCUGACUUCAGCUAGGAUUACGCAUCUAUAGUUUCAAUGUGGAACUAUAAAAUCUCCAUCUCGUACUAGGUACUCAAACAUUCAGUUAUGGCCAGUAGCUACUUUUGGGGAGGAGGGAACAUGUCUAAUUUUUUAAAGUUGUAAAUUUCAAUACUAAGAAAGAUAAAUAUCACCCAAACCAUGCUACAAUUAAACUUACUACUAAAGACACACUCAAAUACGUGUCUACAGUAGUAUCUGAGUGCUUGGAAUUGUAUAUUCCAAGUUCCUAAUUUCCUCAAUAGUCUGGCUUUCUUAAAAAAUGCAAAACACACUGCUAUUUUUAUUGUGUUUGAUCUUUAAACAGAGGUGCUUUCUUGUUUGGAGAAGGGGCCUAAUUUGAAAAUACUAGUCAUCCAGAGGACAUACAAAGAAUGUGCUGUGACUGAUACAAAUAUUUUUUUAAGUUAGCUUAGAUGUAUUUUUUUUUUUCAAGCUAACACAUAUCCUCUAUCCUUCCUCAGUACUGUUUGCUCAGCUGGAUGUCUACAGGGUCCAAUUUUCCUUCCAAUUGCUCUUGCACGCUAAUAUAAUUGCUGCUCAUAUGGGUAAUUGGUCAGCCUAGAGCAGCAUUUGUAUGCAUUUGUUCAUCUACAGUAUCUGGCAACUUCUCAAAUGAUUUUGCACUCUUAUAAUACAAUCACGUAUUUUUAGUUUUUGCCUCUUUAUAACAAGGCUAAGUAGGUGUGAAUCUGUAAAGGAUACAUAUUUUAAGUGUUCAAAAGCUGGAAUAUACAGAUACACAUUCCAAUUAUUUUUAGCAGUGGACGUUUCUUCUCACUUAUCAGAGUCAAUGAAUCUAGUCUCAAAUGUAUGUUCCUCUGCUCCACCUUCCCCAAUUGUUUCCUCCCCAAACAAAGCCAAAUUAACUAGAUUAAACCACACUAUCGCUUAAAAAAGGUGACAAGCCAUUUUCACUUAAUACUGAUGAAACAGCAAAAAACCAUUAAUUUUACUAAAGCUUGUUCUUGAGCACAUUUUAAAUAUUGUUUGACAAAAUGGAAGUACACAUAAAGCACUUCAGGUGAAUUCCAGAAUUUAAUUGUAUUAUUACUAAAGAAAAGCACUUGUGUGACUGUUUGAGUUGCAAGCUGAACUAGCCACUUUCUUUCAUGGAACACCAUUUUAUACUUGAAGGAAUGACUGACAAACCAGUUUUUCAGACUUGGGUAUUUGGCAAGCAUUUUCUCAAAAAUAAGUGAAGGUAACCUGUCACUUCAAGGACAACUACUGACAGUAUGUGGUUGCCAAUAAAAAAAUUCAAGCUUUCACAUGAAAAUUAGAAUUCUGAAAAAUGUAAUCUGUCACCACAAACUUAACCGCUUCCCAGUACUUACUUUUCUGACAAGAUCAGUGGUAAUAUUAAUGAAUUUAAUUUUAUUUUGUAUGGCUAAAAGCAAUACUUACUUUUCUGACAAGACCAGUGGUAAUAUUAAUGAACUUAAUUUUGUAUGGCUAAAAGAACUUUCCAAAGUGAAAAAGAGACCAGUGGAUUUUAAGAACACGAAAAGUUCCUUGGUAUUGUUUCUGACUCCACAUUGGAACUAACUAAACUUUAAGAAACCAUCACUUGAGUUUUAGUGUAGUACCAGAGGAAAAUAUCCAGUUACCUGAAAAGAUCAGAAUACUCCUCCUUUUUCCAACUACAUUAUCUGCACAAGAUCAGACUUCUCCAGAUACUUCUAACAAAAUAACAAUUCAAUUGGUCUAAUGCGAAGCAGUAUGAGAUCCAACUUUCUUCUAUGAAGGCAGACAUGAGAGCUUUGCAGAAACAUAAAAUCAUGGGUCUCUAAACAAAAAUGUUAUUUAUGUUAACAUGUAAUGAGUUUAUGUUUAAAUGAAUUAGCAACUAUUUAAAUUUUUUCCCAUUUUGUUUCAAAUUCUCCUAGAUCCUAAUCGGUUUUAUUUUCUAUUACAAUAAAUACUGAUAAACAUAACUUACAUAAGCAAAAAUUCUUUGGGGCCUGCAGUAAUUUUUAUAAAUGUAAAGGAGUCCUGAGACCAAAAAGUUUGAGAACUGUUGUAACUUAUCAUCACUAAGAAAAUAUUAUUAUAAAUGCUACUUAGAAUCAAAACAAAGGAAAUUGCAAAAUAAACAAGAUUAAAGAUUUAUAAUCCUUAAAAGUUUAUCAGAAGGCAAACUUUCGGACAAACCUGCUUUGACUUACCAAUAAAGCAAAAUUUAUAGUUUUAUUUGCAAAUCUAUCAAAUAAUUUAUCACUAAUCUAGAAUAUUUUUCAAAAUUACUUUUCUGGUAAUAAAAUUUUUAAAAGAAUUUAAAAAAUAAAGUUAAACCUCUGUCUUUCAAUCUCAGGGCAGUUUCUACUAACUCACUGUCUUUAAGACCUGCUGAUUGAUUUGUCUUUUCAGAGCUGAUGAUUUUUUUUGGCCAACUUCAUAGGAGCACAGGCUUUAAUUCAAUAUUGCCAGAUCUAAAAUAGUGCCUAGGUGUAAACUUAAAGUUUCUGCAUUUUACUGUAAGUAAAUUAUUCCCCUCAAGAAAAAAUACUGCUAUAAAAUAGUGUCUGCCACAAUAAAUGUUAAAUAAAUUGGGUGACUGAAUCCAGCCAUCUGCGUCAUCUCUAAGAUAAACAUGCCUAACUAGAAAUACUGCGUUUGUCAAUUUCAGCCCUAGUAUGUACACCUAGUUCUUUUUGAAUACUUAAUGAAUUUUGUGAUUAUGGCAGAACAAUAUCCUAAGGCUAGUAAUCAUGAAUAAUUAUCCACAUUGUAUAAAAUUUUUAAAAGUGACCUAUUACAUUGGUAGUGCUGAAAUCUAGAAUUUGGGUUAAUUUUCCUAAGUAAGAAAGGUAAGAGGAUAAAAACAGUCCUACGUUUUUAAAAAAUAUUUAUUUAAAAAUAAGAUUUCAAAAAAUACAGUACUUAAUACAUUUUGAGAAGUAAAAAUUCCACAAUUUAAAUUAAAAACAAUCUGCAAAGAAAAUAGAAAUAUUACGUGAAAAAAACUAAAUCGCUACAAUAAAUUAAAAACAACAACAUUGUUCUUAAGGUAGAUACAUGGUUUGAUUUUCACAUUAAGAACCAGUGUAGACUUUUCAUCUAAACAAAUACAUCUCAGCUACAUGGUUCCCACUUGUCAUUUCACCCAUUUUACUCACUCUUCUCAAACUAUUCUUACAUCUCUCAACUACUAUUUUCCUAAUUACCAUCAACACUAGAAAUAUUGGUGAAGAUUUUCUUCAAAUUCUCUUAGGGGAAAGACAAGGUAAAAAUAAUAGACAAUGCAAGGAAAACAGCACUCAGAUCUAUACAUAUUAUGUACUGAAUAAUAAAAUGCCUGACAAAUUUAAAAACAGGAUCUUCUUAUGCCACUUGUAACAUACCACUAUUAAAAGCAUUUUAGGGAUAUAAUACUAGACAGAACUUGGGGUUCACACAUAAUUUUAGGAGCCUCAAGAAUAACAUAGAUUUUGGCUAUUCAUUAAACUUGCCAGUUAGAUCACACACAAAAAAACACUAAUUCCAGGGACACAAAGUGAGCUCAUACAGCAUGAUCCACGUGUGCUCUGUCCUUGCAAGAGCCUAGCUUUGUCCUCCCGUGUUAGACUCACAAUUCACUUGUCGGAAUAUCUCUGAUUCUGGUGGAAGUUUUUACUUUUGUAUCAUUUAGUUGCUUUAUUCUUACAUAUAUGAAGUAGAAUUUUUUUUCUUUUAUAUGUUCAUCUCUGGGAGACAGUGAAUAGUGGUGAAUUCUCUACUACUCAAUAACUUGAAAAAUUACUGCAUUCAGCCACAUGCAUUUAAAUCACGCAUAAACAAGCCAAAUUACUCAGAAUCAAUACAGUGGCAACACAAUCUAGGGAAUAUUGUUGGCAGAUUAGAGAGAGAUAAUGUUGCUUCAUCUCAUUAGGCUUUCAAAUUUUGCUUUCACCUCUAAUGAUAUGUUCAUCUAGAUUUCUACAUAUCGUUCAAAUGAUCUGAAGCCACAUUUCACAUAAAUUUCAGACUUGAUUCUUUUUUUCCAUUCAGAAUUGACUGCAAAACCAUAUAUUGUAUCUACAUUCAAGGAGAGGUUGAUUUUAGCUAACAAUAAUGCAAAAUAUUUUCAAAUGUGAAUGUCUGCCUUUCCAAUAUACACACUGUCACCUUCUUGCCAGAAUGAUUAACCAUUUUAGCUGCAGUUGUAAGGACACUGAGUGUUUUGAGAAUUUUAAAGGGAAAAAUCUGGAACCCAAAUAAUAUACAUAGCAGCAUUACAUUUGGACAAUUACAUUUCAAAGGUGUUUUAAAUUACGAGUACACUUAAAGGGUGUUUCUCUUCAUUUUUGUAAAAUUAACUACUAAGCAAAAUUAGUUUUAAAAAUCUUACUCUAUGUAAAGUGAGUAACCAUAUCCAGACUUUUUUCUUUCAUUAAGUUCAAUUUUCUGUUAUCAGUUUUGCUUAAAUCAAGGUACAUAUGCAUUUCCUCUUGGGAAAGCAUCUCUCUCUCUGUCUCUCUCUCUGUCUGUCUGUCUCUCCGUAUCUCUCUCUCUAUAUAUCUACACACACAUAUGUACACAUACAUAUAUUUUAAAGGUGUUCUGUUAUCUUUAUUUGCAAAGUAGACAAAUGGCAAUAUUAUUCUUUAAAGCCACUAAAGAUUACACACACACACACACACACACACACACACACACACACGCUGAACUCGAUUUGUAAUGAGAACGAACCUUAACUCUUCAUCUUAGUAUUUUGUUUCAGUAUUCACUAAAGUGCCCAAUAAGCUAUAUAGUUCAUUUAUAUAAAUUAGAGUUCUUACCUUUUUAUUCAUUGUUGCAGAAAUAAAACAACUUGUGAAAAGUGCUUCAAUUAUCUUUUGUAAUUUCAGCCUAUCAAACUACCUUUUAAAGUAGCCAAGCUAUAUUAAAAUACAAAAUUAAAAUCCAUACAUGCCUACCUAAAAAAAAAUCCAAAUGAGAAACAUUUAAAAUCCAUUAAAUUGCCAGAGCAGCAUGCAAAAAAUAAGAUCUGUUAAUCAAACUGUUCUUAGUAACAUUAAAUUCUACUUUAUAAAUACACAACGAUGUGAGAAGAAAACUCAGUCAACCAAAAAGAAAAUUAACUCUUUGGUACAGGAAUUAAAAAUGUCACUCAAUGCUAAAGUGAAUAGCACCAGGAUGUUUUAUAGUUGUUGAGGUUAUAAAACACGAACUUCAGGCACCAGUAGGUUAAAAUAUCAUCCAAUGUAUACUGGCAAGAAUAUAUAGCUUGCAAUACGCAGGUAAGCUUUCCCUUUAGUUAACAGCCUGCAAACAAUUAAACCCUGUAUUUGGUCAAACAGGCAGGCAAAGCCACAAAAAAGCCCACAACUUCUGUUAAGCUAUUUUGUCCGCAUCUUUGUUUAUAUAUAAAGCUAUCGAUACCAAAAAAAUCAGUGUUGAACUGUUAUAAGAACGACAUUACAUGUUACAGAUAUUCAAAAUACCAAUAGAAAUGGAGACCUUCGAGGUAUCAAGAACUCCAAAAUAUCCCAAAUGUUAAAGUGAAAGCCACCCUUAUAUAUUGUUUAUUUUUCCUCUGGUGACAAAAUUUUCUAUACACUCAGUAUCUUUUCUUUGCAAUAAGAGAUUUCCAGAAAAGGUGCCAGUUUUUUCAAACUUUGGUCAACCUAUUCAUUUCUCCUCUGCAUUAAAUAGCUGAGUUUUCCACAUUAUUUUUAACACUUCACAUGAUCAUACUCUACACAAUUAUAUUUAAAACUAAAAUAUUUAUAAAAGGCAUCUGACCAACUGAAGAGAAACCGCAAUAUAAAUUCUUUAAGUUAAAUAAUUCAAACUAAAUGCUUAUAUGCACUAACAACUCUUCCCAUAAAAAUGGUAUAAAUAAGAGAUAAGUUUGUGGAUACUCACUACUCAUUUGUACCUAUUCUCUAGGGUGGACAAGGCAAAAAGAACAUAAUAAUAGUAAAAAAUAUAAUGAUAAUGGAAAGUAUCAGUAAUAUCAAUGACUUUUUAAAAUACCAUUGUUAUUUCUGUUUCAAAUUAGCAGGCAGUAUUGUAACAUCUGAAGAACUGACAAAGAUAUAGUGAGUUUUGUUGCUAAAAAUUGCACAAUGAUAAUAAAAGAAGUCAGAAAAGUCACUUUCCUGAAGUUAAACCAUCAUCAUCUCAAAAGGAGCAGAAAUGCUAAAUACUGAUUAACAUAUAGAAUUACAACACUGGUUCAAAAUAGUUCAAGCAAGUUGGUUCUAAUACUUUCUUAUACUGUACUGUGGAAUAUUCUAGAAUUCAACUGAGAAUGACUAAAUAUAGAGCACAAUGAAAUCUGUGAUUUAUAAUAAAUUCAGAGGAUGAUUUCUAGAAUAAAAGUUAACAAACUUGGGCAUUAAAUAACACAUUCAUUAAUCAUACAGUUAAUACUAGCAAGUAGAACACAUUAAAUGUACAUGGCUUAUUUGCUACACUUACCAAUACUUAUAUUUUUAAAGCAGUAGUAGAGUUGUGUGAAAAUCUAAUAUUUGUAUCUAUUAGCAAACUACUCAAUGUUUGUAUGUGUGAAUUUUAUCAAAUAAAUUCUAGAUAUAUCUAUGUAUAUUAGAGGUCAUGUCAGAAACUUAUUCAAUAAAGUAACUAUAGGUUAUUAAACUUGGUAAACUUGAGCUAAGUAAUCUAUUGAUACAGGAAGCGCAAGAGAAGCAGAGACUAGAGAAAAGUCCAGAGAGAGACUAGCAGCUCUAUUAAUUAGUAUUAAUGGCAUAUUAAACCAGAGCUUGGUACAUUGUGAUUUUAUAGCAAUACAUGUGAAAACACUCAAACUACCCCAUGAUCUAACACACAGAAAAUUGUGUAGCUAUAAUCUAAAUCAGUUCACACUUCCUGGUUUGAAGUGUUGUCCUAACUUAAGUCUUCAUGAUUAGCAUUCAGAAUUAAUACACCCUUUGGAGUGAAACAUAUCACCCACUAGUUACUUGUAUGGGAGUGACUUGAAUGUGUAACAAAGAAUAGUUAUCAUUAGCCAUCAUACUUAGAGAAAAAUGCCUCUAUGCAUUGGCAAAAACGCACUGAUGUUAAUCCUGGCAGAUGUUUUAACUCAGCUGUUAUACUGAACAUUACGUAUUAUGUUCUCUAUUUCAUUAUUAAAAAUAAACCAUGCUUUUUUUCUGAAAAAGUUAAUAUGUUAACUACAAUUUAAAACAGCUAUUUCUAAUGUUAAGCACAAAUAUUUGUAAUACAACUCUUAAGCAAAAUAGUAUUUUUAUUAUAAUGAAACAUCAGCUAACUUGAUAUUUUUAAACUGUAAGUCUGGGUUACAAAGUACCAACUGCUCUGUAACUGAA